CUUAAUAACUUUAUUUUAUUAUUUUAUUUGUUUAUACAGUUUUGUGUGGUACUGACCCCCAGAAUUGAGUGAAAGCAAUCUAGUCAAUAUCAUAUUUUGACACUUAAAGGAAAAUCUAUUCAUAUGUUUCAGGGUGUCCAACAUGCAGUAGUUAUUGAUAUUUUGUUCAGACAAAAUUAUCUUCCUUUUGUAGCGUCAAGAAUAUUAAUAAUUCUCUUCUAAAUAACACUCACGCAUUCUCUGCCACGCUAAUUUACACCAACAGUAUUUAUUUAUUUAUUUUUGUUAAAUGUGUUAUGUCCUCACUUAGUUGGCGAGUAAUUAACAUUUCUAGCUUAUUUUUUUCCCCUCCCGUUGCCAUGGUGAAUCGCGUUAUUCGCGUUCGAUUGUUGAGAGGUAGUUUCUAUGCUCGCGCUUAUAUCGGGGUUAACUGCUCUGAAACCGACAACUCAAGAGUUUCAUAGAGGUGAGGCGGAACUCUGCCCGCAUCUGGUUAAGGUGCGGCGGAGCUCAUUGGCGAGUGAGGCGCAAGUUGAGGACAGCAGGUGUGCGACACGACGGAGCCAAUACCGAGACGGCUUCGGAGUGGAACAAAGAGGUUCCUUCUCCUGGAUUUGACUGGCAUGAUUCCAGCUUUUUAAGACUCCUGUAAUUGAAAAUAGAGAACAAUCUUAUCCUGAACUUGGGACUCCUCGACUGAUAUUGGGGAGGCAUUUUAUCGUACAGUUUUGAAAGCAAAGUGAUUUAUCCCUUUUGUGUUCCCGCUGGGAAUAAAUAUAUUUAUUCAAACCUAAA